AUAAAAGUUCUCAGUUAUUACUUUAUAAUUGCAGCAUAAUAAAUAAAUAACAAUGUUGAGGUGUUCACAUUCUGAUUCAGACAUUGCAGUGCAUAUAUUUAAAGAUAGUCAAAUUUGAAGUGUCCGACGAUCUUUGUGUCAUUUGUCUGAUAUCUUUUGUCCUCAUCAAUGUCAUUGGUGCAAGUUUUUUUUUGUUUUGUUUCUAUGAUAAUUAUGUUAACUUGUCCAACAUAAAUUUUUACUAUUUUUAUACACUUUAUUUAUGCACACAUACUAUGAAAUACUAGUAGAUUUUUCUAGUCUUGUAUUACGAUGCAUAUGAUUGACCAUUUAUUAAUGAUAUUAUUAUAUUGUCAAUGUUUUAUAUAUAAAACAAAUUAGUUUUAGUAUAUCAUAUAUCCGUCCACAUUUUAGCUUGAGAAUAUUUAAGAAUAAAUUUUUACUGUAUUAAUUUUUUUUUUUUUUAAAAGCGCUCAUCAUAUAUUUAAAACAUUUUAUUUGAACUGUUUUUCUCCACGUUUCAGAGUUUACUUUCAAUACUUAAAAAUAAACAUUCCUAAAAUUAAAUUGUUAGCAAUUCAAGGUACACAUUACAUCACAUGUGUGGGGAGCAUUUCAAGGUACACAUUACAUCACACGUGUGGGGGUUCUUCCAAAAUGGACAGCUAGAGGAGAGUCAAAUUACAAUUUUUUAUGGACCUUAUAAAUGGAUGUCUAAUUUAUAUGAGGUGUGCUCAUUCUUGAAUAUUUAUUUCAAGUGAUUAGCCCCUUGAAGCUUACAAAAGAAAAAAUUCACCUGUGUUGACCAAACUGUCACUGUAAAGGUAAAAAAAAAACAACCUGAAUAUAAGAGGUGCACCAUACAAACCCAUUCCACCCACUUAGACAUUCUGUCUCUAUAUUUUAGAUGUAUAUUUAUGAACAAUCAUAUGUUUCAUUUUAUAAAGUAGUUUUUAUAUAAUUCAGCAUUAAAUACAUUUUCAUAA